CGAGCAGCACGACCUUCUUCCUCCACUAACCACCGCCGUUGUGCAUCCCGCCUCCUCCCUCGCGCCGCCUCGUGACUAUGCCAACUCGUCGUCGCGAUUGCCAAUCGCCACCCCAGCAGGCUUCGCGUCUUUCCCUCCAAGGUGCCACCAUGAGCCGCCGCAGGAAGCAAUCCCCAACCUCCAGCGCCGCCGUGACUCAUCUUCUGCGACAGGCACAACAGUGAUUCCUCACACUUAGCCGCGAGGGCUCCGCCGCCUACAUGCAGGAAAUGUAGUCAAAUUCAUGUACAGAUGCAUCACUUUUGUGAUCCUACUAGUCAAUCUCCGGUAUGAUGCUUGGAGCAUUGAUGAUUGGAGUGUUGAUCUAUACAUGAGUUUCGGCAUCUUUCUCAAGGAGCUACGUCGACUAGGAUAAGUGGUGGGUUUGUACGAUGAUUAGGAUUAUAGUGGUGGGGUUGAGUUGGAUUUUCAUGGCGAGCUGUUCAGAUUUUGUCACUACUGACUAAAAAUGUUUGUAGAAGGAGAUGCGGCCCCUAGUGAAGGAGAUGUAUCCUCAACUUGUAUAGAUGCGUUUUUUUUUGCAGAGACCAAAAUGGCUGGAGAAGGAUAUGUGGCUGACAAUGAAACAGAGGGUUCUGCAAAUCCGAUCUCACGACGGAACUCAAAAAGGGCUGCUAAGCGGCAGCCGCAUGGAGAUGAUAAGGAUGGGAAUGGAGAGGGUGACGAUGGCGGCGAAAGAUUUCUCUUAGUAAAACUGCAGAGAAGAAAGGUGCAUGCGGAGGCAGUAUCCAAAGGGGUAGAUGCCAGAUCUUCUGCAGCAGCCGCUGAGUAACAUAAAAUUCCACCAUGAAUAUUUUUUACUCCACAUACAGGCAGCCAAGUGUAUUAAUUUUCAUACAUAGUUGCAGAAGGACUAAUUAAGCAUUGGCAUGUUCAACUUUCUCAGUUGCUCAACGUUGCCAUCUUCAAGUUUUUUAGAAUUGUCCCAAGGGUAUGUAACGACUUGGCAUCCUCAUGCUUUCUUGUUGCAGAAUAGUAUCUAAUUAGUUGGCAACCUCAGUAAUUCUAGUUGCACAACAAUAUACAACUAGUUGACAUCCUCAGCUUCUCUAGUUGUACAAGAACUCAGAUUAGUCCCAUCUUAAAAAAUUGAGGAUUGCCCAAGAGUAUGUAAUGACUUGGCAUCCUCAGGCUUUCUAUAUGCAGAAUAGUAUCUAAUUAGUUGGCAACCUCAGUAAUUCUAGUUGCACAACAAUAUACAACUAGUUGACAUCCUAAACUUCUCUAGUUGCACAAGAACUCAGAUUAGUCCCAUCUAAAAAAAUUAAGGAUUGCCCAACAGUAUCUAACGACUUGGCACCCUCAGGUUUUCUAGUUGCAGAAGAGUAUCUAUUUAGUUGGCACCCUCAGCAAUUCUAGUUUGACAACAUUAUCCAGGUAGUUGACAUCCUCAGCCUCUCUAGUUGCACAAGAAUUCAAAUUAAUCCCAUCUUAAAUAUUUUAAGGGAUUGCCCAACAGUAUCUAAUGACUUGACACUCUCGGGUUUUCUAGUUGCAAAAGAGUAUCUAUUUAGUUGGCACCGUCUACAAUUCUAGUUGGACAACAUUAUUCAAGUAGUUGACAUCUUCAGCCUCUCUAGUUACACAGAAUUCAGAUUAAUCCCAUCUUAAUGUUAGGAUUAAUCUUGAUUAUGUAUCUGCAUUGUAUUUUCGUUUAACAUGUAGUCUAGUGUAGGUUGAUGUUUGUCCCAUGAAGCUUCAGCUCAACAUGCAGAGGAGAUGCCGAUGGCAGCGUGAGGCUGCAGUGCUGCGUGAGGCAGCAUGGCCGUGUGAUGCAGCAAGCGCGUGAGAGGCUGGAGCAUGACGGGCUGCAUGAACAGAUAUUGUUCAAGGGAAUGAGAGUAAUGAAGCAGAUAAUGUUGAACGACAGUCACAAGCUGGCUACCUGAUGGAGACUGCCUGGCUGGGACCCUUUCUUUUGUUGUGAAGAACAAGAAGGGGCCCUGUGGAGAAGGAAGUGUGGGCGAGGGGUGCGUGGAGGCUUCGGGAGUUAGUGGGCUAUCACGUGAUACCGACCGGCCUUUGUUUUCUGAUUCUUCACAGAUUCUAGGAGUCGGAACGAAGUUUCCUUUAUGGGAAUAGUGGGGACAAAAAAGUUACCUUUCCCGUCCGGCCGCUCGCGAGCGCUAGCAGGCCAACGGCCGCUAGCCAGACGCGUCCAUUUUUUUUUGUUUGAAAAACCCAGAAAAAUUAUUCAUUUGUGAUAAAUGAUACAUUG